GGAAUGAGAUACAUUAUAGAAUUUAGUUCCUUAUUGUUAUCUUCUUUUGUUGAGCUCUAGAGGACAAAGCGGGUGCAUUUCUGCAUCUAUCUUUGCUUCACUGAGCGAGAAUGGCAUCGAGAGAGAACUCCAUUAGAACGGUUUUGAGCGUUGUAUCUACCUUUGUCUUGCUCUCAUCAUGGAUUGCUUACAACCCAUUUCUGAGACCUUUAAAGCCGAAUCUCGCAUCUCCAAAUUGGAUUAUAUGUGAGCUCCACUUGUCUUUCAAUUUGAUGUCUGAAAAAUGCUCAAGGUUCCUUCACUUGUUUGCCUCUGAAAAUCUCAUUCUCAAGAGAUUACUCUCUUCCUCUUCCAAUUUUAGGAUUGGACGACGAUGGCUACUGAUAGCGCUACUGGAUCGACAGCUACUACUGCUCGAGUGUGUUGCCCUGUACACAAUGAAGGUGUUGCAUUGCUUACCUCUUUCACUCGCAAUAAUCCAGGAAGGAGGUUCUUCUGUUGUCCUCUAAGGAAGGCCAAUAAUUGCAAUUUCUUCCUUUGAUAUGAUGAUGAACUUGUACCUGGUUCUAGAGAAAAGUGUGCCUUUGAUGUUAUCUUUGAUAAAAUAGAUAGGCUACAAGCUGUAAUUUCGAGUAAGGAGCAAAAUAAGGUUAAGUUGGAAAGAAACUUAAAGGCUGCUAAGGCGGAUUUGGUGAAGAAAAAAGAUAAAGUGAGGAGAUUGAAGGAAGACCGUUCAUUGCUACAUUCAAGGUUGCAGAAAAUGCAAAAUAAAAAAUAGAGAAUGGGGCUGCUAUAUGUUGCUUCAAUGCUUAUGAUGUUUUUUAUUAUUAUCAAUGUCAUAAAGGAGAAAGUUAGCAGCAAGUUAUAUCUUGCUUAAGCUAUUAUGUAAUGAAAACUAUGUUUAUGGGUAAUGAAAAAUGUUAUUUUGUAAUGAAAAUUAUGUCUAUGGUUAAUAAAAAUUUCUAUUUA